AAGACAACGGGAAAUGGAACUCUGCAUGCG
rnacentral:piRNA from 1 species